UACGUAGGGUGCAAGCGUUAAUCGGAAUUACUGGGCGUAAAGCGCACGUAGGCGGUUACUCAAGUCGGAUGUGAAAGCCCUCGGCUUAACUGAGGAAGUGCACCCGAAACUGAGUAGCUAGAGUACCAAAGAGGGUCGCGGAAUUCCCGGUGUAGAGGUGAAAUUCGUAGAUAUCGGGAGGAACACCGGUGGCGAAGGCGGCGACCUGGGUGGAUACUGACGCUGAGGCGCGAAAGCGUGGGGAGCAAACAGG
rnacentral:rRNA from 1 species